GGUGAACCUGCGGAGGGAUCAUUACCGAGUUAUACAACUCAUCAACCCUGUGAACAUACCUAAACGUUGCCUCGGCGGGAACAGACGGCCCCGUAACACGGGCCGCCCCCGCCAGAGGACCCCCUAACUCUGUUUCUAUAAUGUUUCUUCUGAGUAAACAAGCAAAUAAAUUAAAACUUUCAACAACGGAUCUCUUGGCUCUGGCAUCGAUGAAGAACGCAGCGAAAUGCGAUAAGUAAUGUGAAUUGCAGAAUUCAGUGAAUCAUCGAAUCUUUGAACGCACAUUGCGCCCGCCAGUAUUCUGGCGGGCAUGCCUGUUCGAGCGUCAUUACAACCCUCAGGCCCCCGGGCCUGGCGUUGGGGAUCGGCGGAAGCCCCCUGCGGGCACAACGCCGUCCCCCAAAUACAGUGGCGGUCCCGCCGCAGCUUCCAUUGCGUAGUAGCUAACACCUCGCAACUGGAGAGCGGCGCGGCCACGCCGUAAAACACCCAACUUCUGAAUGUUGACCUCGAAUCAGGUAGGAAUACCCGCUGAACUUAAGCAUU
rnacentral:rRNA from 1 species